rnacentral:rRNA from 1 species
AGCAGUGAGGAAUAUUGGUCAAUGGGCGGGAGCCUGAACCAGCCAAGUCGCGUGAGGGAAGACGGUCCUAUGGAUUGUAAACCUCUUUAGGCGGGGAGCAAUGCCGGGCACGCGUGCCCGGAGGGAGAGUACCCGCAGAAUAAGCAUCGGCUAACUCCGUGCCAGCAGCCGCGGUAAUACGGAGGAUGCGAGCGUUAUCCGGAUUUAUUGGGUUUAAAGGGUGCGUAGGCGGAUUUUUAAGUCAGCGGUAAAAUGUCCGGGCUCAACCCGGGCCGGCCGUUGAAACUGGGGAUCUUGAGUGGGCGAGAAGUAUGCGGAAUGCGUGGUGUAGCGGUGAAAUGCAUAGAUAUCACGCAGAACUCCGAUUGCGAAGGCAGCAUACCGGCGCCCGACUGACGCUGAGGCACGAAAGCGUGGGGAUCGAACAGGAUUAGAUACUCUGGUAGUCCACGCAGUAAACGAUGAAUGCUAGUUGUCCGGUUCUUGGGACUGG